rnacentral:SRP_RNA from 1 species
GCCGGGUGCAGCGGCUCACGCCUGUAAUCCCAGCACUUUGGGAGGCUGAGGCAGGUGGUUCACUUGAGGUCAGGAGUUUGAGACCAGCCUGGCCAAUAUGGUGAAACCCUGUCUCUU